AAACCGGUUCCUAUAGGAACCAUCAAAAUAACAAAAGAAUUGAAA
rnacentral:ncRNA from 1 species